ensembl:lncRNA
UCUGCGGUCAGUGAGGAGCAGAGGGGUGAGCUGUGAUUAUACAGUGAACACAGAACAUCCAUCUCUCUCUCCACGCAGUGACCCAUACACCUUUACAGAAACAACAACAACAACAACAACAACAACAACAACAACGUAUCUAUCAUCAUCACAGCCAGGGUUAAGCCUUGUAGGAACAACAACAAUAACGGCAACAAUAGCAACACCAGCAACAGCAACAACAACAGCAACAGAAACAGCAACAACAACACCAACAGCAUCAACAACAACAUAUCUAUCAUCCUCAGGGCUAGUUUCAACCGUGACUAGUCCAAGGUCCACUCAUCCUGCAGAGGAUUCUUCAAAAUUUGGUCACAGGGCAUUUUUGACUGGGUCAGUGGUGGCGUCUGGAGGGGGCCUCUUCCUGGGGGUCCUCAUUGCCUCAUGUCUCUGCUUCAAGAGACAUAAACAUGCAAGACCUCAGCAUACUACCCACUAUAGAAGUGAUUCUGUCAGAUGUGGUCCAGAGGAUGGCAAUAUUGAUCUUGAUAGGGGGAAUGAUGAGCGUCUCCCUACCAUCUUAGACACCUCAGGUGGUGACGUGGAGAACAACUCUUGGCAGGAUGGGUCUGACCCAUGUCAUGUGUAUAGCUCCAUACCUGACACACCAGAUGUUUCCAACCAUCAGGACACCAGUUACAGGGAUCCAGAAAACACCCAGCAGGGCAUGACCUACCACCUUCUGCAGAAGAUCUAAUUACGCUGCUCUUACGGUCUUUAGACUACUGCUACAAUAAUGUACAUUUGCUGUUCAAAGACAUUUACAUUUAGUCAUUUAGCAGACGCUUUUAUCCAAAGCGACUUACAUACACAUGUUACAUUUACACUGAUGGCACACACUGCACAUCAGGAGCAAUUAGGGGUUCAGUGUCUUGCUCAAGGACGCUUCGACAGGGAAUCGAACUAGCAACCUUCUGAUUACUAACCGCCUUCUCUACCCCCUGUACCACUGUCACCCCAAAGACAAUGUGAAGCUGUGGCCUUCCAGCAGGACCAGUGUGAUGUACUCAGUGAAUGUGUGUUGCCUUGGCUGAAACAGCCUGCUUGAAUAAAAUGUCAAAUGCAUCUUAAUAGAGAGACUGUAAACAAUGAAUGUAGAAAAUAAAAAGUAUACUAUCCCUUGAGCCCUGCA